AGCUUCAGUAGCGUAUAUUAAAGUUGUUGCAGUUAAAAAGCUCGUAGUCGCAUUUCUGGCGAGAGGAUCCGGUCCGACCUUUUGGUGGGUUCUUGGGUCUCUUUCGCCAUCCUUGAGUGGUCCGUUCUGGCAUUAGGUUGUCGGCGCGUCAGCCGCUCAUCGUUUACUGUGAGAAAAUUAGAGUGUUCAAAGCAGGCUUAUGCCGUUGAAUAUAUUAGCAUGGAAUAAUAAGAUAGGACCUCGGUACUAUUUUGUUGGUUUGCGCACCAAGGUAAUGAUGAACAGGGACAGUUGGGGGUAUUUGUAUUUCGUUGUCAGAGGUGAAAUUCUUAGAUUUACGAAAGACAAACUACUGCGAAAGCAUUUACCAAGGAUGUUUGCA
rnacentral:rRNA from 1 species